AGAGUGGGAUUGCGUGAGUUGUGAUGUAAGGCAACUAUAGAAUGAACACCUAACGUGGCAUUUAUAGAGCGAGAGUUCAGCAAAUCUGCUUGCCACGUGUCCAGCAUGUACACACAUAUGGGGCUAGACUAUCGGCACGUACGCGUUGCUUGACAGGUAUCGUCGGUUCUCUUAGUCGGUGCAUGUGUGGGCCAGCCUCGACGACCACUAUACCUUUGAAGGUGCCUUCGGCAGGCGGCAAGCGCAUGGGCCGAGACGGACGAAAUGGGGAAUUAGGGCCCAAGCGCACCAGUUGCCGCACAAACAAUUAAACGGGCUAGGUAGCAACCACGAAGAUUAACCAAACAAAGCCCAACACAUAACGUGUUUGCCUGAACUGCAUAAAAACAACUAUUGCACUCGAACCAUCCCACAAACACCACUUAAACAUGAGGGUGGAAAAAAAAUAUAGCUAAGACGUUAACAUCGUAUUCACAAUAAAACAACCAAAAAAAAUAUGUAACGCUCAAAACUCCCAUAUGUAGAUAACGCCUAAGUCGCGACACACAUUAAAGAAUUCUGAAUAAUCGUGUGGCUUUACACGUUCUUUCCUUCAUGCGUAAAGUUGCAUCUCUAUUAGCUCAAUUUUGCACACAGCUGUGACCUCAUCACAUUUUCUAAAAUCGAGCCGCGUUAAUCAGUCAUUUCCUCACACAAAAAAACAUGAUGCUUUACUAAACUCUAUUUCGACCCAUUCGUCGGGAGGUAAGAAAACCAUAAAUAACACGUUAAAAUUAUCAGACAAUAUAAAACCUC
rnacentral:lncRNA from 1 species